rnacentral:rRNA from 1 species
CGAUAACGAACGAGACCUUAACCUGCUAAAUAGUUAGGCCAACGUUUGUUGGUCGUCAACUUCUUAGAGGGACUAUUGACUAUUAGUCAAUGGAAGUUUGAGGCAAUAACAGGUCUGUGAUGCCCUUAGAUGUUCUGGGCCGCACGCGCGCUACACUGAUCAAGUCAACGAGUUUACAACCUUGGCCGGAAGGUCUGGGUAAUCUUUUGAAACUUGAUCGUGCUGGGGAUAGUCCAUUGCAAUUAUUGGACUUCAACGAGGAAUUCCUAGUAAGCGUGAGUCAUCAGCUCGCGUUGAUUACGUCCCUGCCCUUUGUACACACCGCCCGUCGCUACUACUCUGUAUAGAAGUGGCU